rnacentral:rRNA from 1 species
UACGAAGGGGGCGAGCGUUGUUCGGAUUUACUGGGCGUAAAGGGCGCGCAGGCGGCGGAUCAAGUCAGACGUGAAAGCCCCGGGCUUAACCUGGGAACUGCGUUUGGGACUGGUUUGCUAGAGAUCGGGAGAGGAGAGUGGAAUUCCCAGUGUAAAGGUGAAAUUCGUAGAUAUUGGGAAGAACACCGGUGGCGAAGGCGGGUCUCUGGGCCGAUACUGACGCUGAGGAGCGAAAGCGUGGGGGGCGAACAGG